rnacentral:rRNA from 1 species
AUUGAACGCUGGCGGCAGGCCUAACACAUGCAAGUCGAACGGUAACAGGAAGAAGCUUGCUUCUUUGCUGACGAGUGGCGGACGGGUGAGUAAUGUCUGGGAAACUGCCUGAUGGAGGGGGAUAACUACUGGAAAUGGUAGCUAAUACCGCAUAACGUCGCAAGACCAAAGAGGGGGACCUUCGGGCCUCUUGCCAUCGGAUGUGCCCAGAUUGGAUUAGCUAGUAGGUGGGGUAACGGCUCACCUAGGCGACGAUCCCUAGCUGGUCUGAGAGGAUGACCAGCCACACUGGAACUGAGACACGGUCCAGACUCCUACGGGAGGCAGCAGUGGGGAAUAUUGCACAAUGGGCGCAAGCCUGAUGCAGCCAUGCCGCGUGUAUGAAGAAGGCCUUCGGGUUGUAAAGUACUUUCAGCGGGGAGGAAGGGAGUAAAGUUAAUACCUUUGCUCGUUGACGUUACCCGCAGAAGAAGCACCGGCUAACUCCGUG